AGUGAACGCUGGCGGUAGGCCUAACACAUGCAAGUCGAACGGCAGCACAGUAAGAGCUUGCUCUUACGGGUGGCGAGUGGCGGACGGGUGAGGAAUACAUUGGAAUCUACUUUUUCGUGGGGGAUAACGUAGGGAAACUUACGCUAAUACCGCAUACGACCUACGGGUGAAAGCAGGGGAUCUUCGGACCUUGCGCGAUUGAAUGAGCCGAUGUCGGAUUAGCUAGUUGGCGGGGUAAAGGCCCACCAAGGCGACGAUCCGUAGCUGGUCUGAGAGGAUGAUCAGCCACACUGGAACUGAGACACGGUCCAGACUCCUACGGGAGGCAGCAGUGGGGAAUAUUUGACAAUGGGCGCAAGCCUGACCCAGCCAUACCGCGUGGGUGAAGAAGGCCUUCGGGUUGUAAAGCCCUUUUGUUGGGAAAGAAAAGCAGCAGGUUAAUACCCCGCUGUUCUGACGGUACCCAAAGAAUAAGCACCGGCUACCUUCGUG
rnacentral:rRNA from 1 species